CUGCACGCCAGCUCGCUGCUCAGCUGCUCUCACCGCCACCUUCCACCACAGGCCCAGAAGCCAGGAGAUGGCUAAGUCAAUAAAGCACUUGAUGCAGAAGUCUGAGUACCCGAGUUCAGCCCCUAGAACUCACAUGAAAAUGUCAGAGUGCUGCUGACUGACUUUCCCUUCUCUGUCAUCUUGGCUGUGCCUCAUGGGACCCACAUAUCUGAUGGGUCGGUCACCAAAGAGAGCCCCCAGCUCAGGACUGCAGCCUGGAGCGCUGACCUAAAGGUCACUGUCUGGGUUGCUGAGCUCCUGGAUGAACUUGCUGCCUGCCUCUUCUGCAUCACUUUCCCUAAUUUCCGGAGCCAGGGAGGGAGAGAUGACAUCACCCAGGCUCCUCCAAACCUGGGCUCUCUUGGACUAAUUCUUGUGUUCGUGGAGCUUCAGAGGAAGGUGCAGAGGCACAACCCCAAGUAGGUCGUACACACUGAGAAUCCUCUUCCCAUCCUCCUGUGAUCAUAACAUUCCAGUUUCC
ensembl:lncRNA